AAGCGGCCUGGCAAGGAGAGCAGGUUUCUCCUUUAGGUGUUUGGAACUGAGUUGGGAGAGUGGGUACCCGCGACGGGGGCUGGACCACCCUGCAGUGUGGGGAGACAAAGGGAUCCACAUCCAGGUCACUUCUUUCCCGCUUUGGGGCUCGGUGCCCGGGCUGUCUCCUCCUCAUGCCAAUGGCCUUGCUCAUAUCAGGUGUCUGAAGGAGGCAGCUUCUAAGGAUCUGUGUCCUGAUGGCUGCUGGAGCUUCUACUCCAGGUUCAAGGGCAGCAGCUUCCAGGAGACCACAACACUUUACGUCUUCAGCUGGAGAUGACACCUGACUCAGUGGAACAUCAGAGAAGGAUGUGGACACUGAGCCCCAGAAACAAGAGCUGAUAGAGAAGAACCAAGUGUCAUGUUGAAUCUGCUAGAUGGGUUCCUGGAGCAAGAGUGAAGAGAUCGGGCCCCGUCAUUGGGACGCUUCAGAAGUGCUGACUUCCCUCGGUGGCUUCCUGGACGUCUUGUUAGACAGAUAGAUGACAAGAAAGACCCCGCAGCUGGUUCGGAAGAUGCGGCGCCUCUCGCUGAAUGCGAAGACUGCUCCAGGGAUGGAUUCCAAGAGAAGAGGUCGGAAAAGGAAGCGUCCAGCACGAAGGACUCGGCAAAGUGAUCCUCCGACUUGGGGUCAAUUGAAGAAAUUGGUGGCUCAAGCUCAGGAAUUAGUGACUGUUCAAAGGACUCCUUUUACCCCUAUGACAAUGUUUUUGGCUAUGUUGGCUGUUCUUUCUACCUCUUCUGUUCAAGCUGAUGAUUUAUACUGGGCUUAUGUUCCUGACCCCCCUUUGCUACAACCUGUUUCCUGGAUGGAUGCCAAUUUCCCUGUAUUUUAUUUUAUUUUAUUUUUUUUUAAUUUAUUUUUAUUUAUUUAUGGCUGUGUUGGGUCUUCGUUUCUGUGCGAGGGCUUUCUCCAGUUGUGGCAAGCGGGGGCCACUCUUCAUCGCGGUGUGCGGGCCUCUCACUAUCGCGGCCUCUCUUGUUGCGGAGCACAGGCUCCAGACGCACAGGCUCAGUAAUUGUGGCUCACGGGCCCAGCUGCUUUGCGGCAUGUGGGAUCUUCCGGGACCAGGGCUCGAACCCGUGUCCCCUGCAUUGGCAGGCGGAUUCUUAACCACUGUGCCACCAGGGAAGCCCCUGUAUUUUAUAAUGAUACCAUUUUGGGGGAUUUUAUUGGAAAUAUUAAGAUGGCAAAUAUGUCUGUGAAUUAUUCCAAUUGGUUUAGUUAUUUUCCUGUAUGUUUAAGUCCGCUAAAUUUGAAAUCAGGAUGUGUUAAAGCUAUAGCUUUCGAACAUACUGUGCAAUA